ACGCUCGACACCUACGGGGGGCAGCAGUGGGGAAUAUUGCACAAUGGGGGAAACCCGUGAUGCAGCGACGCCGCGUGGAGGAAGAAGGUCUUCGGAUUGUAAACUCCUGUUGUUGGGGAAAAAGAGGAUGGUACCCAACAAGGAAGUGACGGCUAACUACGUGCCAGCAGCCGGGUAAUCUGAGCGGGCUGGCAAGGC
rnacentral:rRNA from 1 species